AGCGCUUGUUUACGGAGAACAAACGGAAGACCGAGUGGACUACCUGUGCUAGUUAGCCAUCUGCGUCUCCGAACACGAACCAUUGAAGUUUGAAAAAUGGGGGUAAAGAAGAAUACCGAAGUUUUGAUACUUGAAAAAUGGUUUGUUAUCCGGGUGGCCCACCAAAUCGAUGACUAGGGGGAUCGGAGUGAUCAAGGCUUAAUCAAGACAUGGACUGACUGCCUGUUCCAUUCCCUCCCCAUGAAGUAGGAAGACAGCUAUACCCCAUUCUACUGGACAUUGAAGUGGAGACAGCUGCUUUGUCAUCAAGAUGGCGCCGUUGAUUUGGGAGCUAAUUGGAUUUUUGAAAAGCUGACUGGAUUUUUCAGGAUUUUAUUUUACUGGAUAAGAUGCAUCAAUUGGAAUUACAUCAAACUUUGACAUGGACUCUUGUGCUUUGGAUGUGCUGGCAAUUCUUUGGACUCAAUUGUUUGAAUAUUGUAAUGGUUUCCUUUACUGAGUUCAGUUACACUACCUUUUCUACUUCUGUGAUUUCCUAAUAGGAUGUUAUUUAUGUUAAAUAAAACAUUGCAAUUUUCACUUCUGACUUUCUUUCAUUGAUCAAUAUGCUACCCAAGAAUGUUACAGGACUAUUUGUCUUAUCGCUAAAUGUGAAAAUUCUCUCCAACUGAAUCAAUUUUACUCAAAUGUAAUCCAGUUUCUGGUAUUUUCUUGGGCUUCCGAUUUACUCCUGUUUACUGGAAGGUAUGAUACGUUUGCCUUGUACAAUCUAAAUUUACAUUUAAUAGUGCUAGCUAAAUUAGGCCUACUAACUUUAAAUAAGAUCUGGGGAAUUGGAGGGUAAACGCAAGUAAUACUUUACACAACUUUUUAUUUUGUGAACUUUUACACCUAUUACGCUAAAGUUUUUUUGCUCAACUGUUUACGCUACUCGUCUCCAUUACGAGCAAUACUUAACAAUGUAGCAACUUCUUAAAACUAUUUAUAUCCCGGGUUAAUUUAAUUGACCAGUUUAUUACUUCCUACACUUUUGUAGGACUGUUCUGUAUUCACAAUCCGACUCGUAAUUGGCGCAAACAUUUAUUUUUUAAGUAAGUCAAAUGAAAGGGUAUGGCUUCUAGUGAUCAACGCAUUCCAUGGGGAAUGAAGGGGCUGGCUGAUCCAUACAGUAAUACUCUGCAUUUCUACAUAGCUCUCUCUACAUAAUACACAGUUGAAACAGCUUUUGGCAAAAACUGAAAUGGUGGCCAAGGCUCUGCCUCUAAAAUG
ensembl:lncRNA